AUAUAUAUCAAUUCUAGGUCAAAUGUUUUUCUAUUUAACACUUAUUGUAUAUGAUCUUAACCUAACAUAGUAAACAAAUGAUCUAGUAAAAGCAGUUGUGAGUUAUAUAUUAUUUCGUGAAAAUAACCGAUACGAAAUUGAUCGGUUCAAUCUUUACAGUACAUUUAUACAGUAACUAUAACUAUUGAAUUAUGGCAGAAAUCGAAUGGCCGUGGCAAUACAGUUUUCCUCCAUUUUUUACUCUCCAACCACACGCAGAUACAAAAGCAAAACAAUUAGCAGCAUGGAAGAGUUUAGUAUUAGAAUAUUAUCGGAUCACAAAACAAGCAAUUGUAGAUAUACGAGAAGUCCAUUCAAGCCCUCUUUUUAACAAUAGUGCAAUCAACCGAAAAUUACCAUCGGAAGUAGUACUUAUAAUAUUAGAGGAGUUAAGCAAAACAGGAAAUGCUAUGCCGUUAGAUAAGACAAAACAAAGAUGGUUAGUUUACUGGCACACAUUGGAAGAAUGGGGCGAUAUAAUAUAUAAUUGGGUACAAGAAACUGGACACGUUGGAUCUGUAUGUACUUUCUACGAAUUAACUCAAGGAGAAGAUAUAGUUGAUCAAGAAUUUUAUAAACUUGAUACGGAAGUAUUAAUAAGAUCUCUUAGAACUCUUGAGUAUGCUAAAAAGGCUGAAUUGAUCAUGUUUGAUGAUAAUCAGGGAGUUAAAUUUUUUUGAUUGCAUAUUUAUUAUUCAGAAAAUACACAUGCAAAAAGAUUCAAUGUUAUCCAACUAUUUUUCUAAUAAUGAGAAGUGCUUAAUUAUCAUCUUUAUAAUAUUGAAACUGCCUAUUCUAUAUGUUUUUAAGAAGAACAAGAAUUAUUUGAAGGAUUUAAACGUAAACUUACAACAGCCAAUCUACGGCAAUAAUAAGGGUGACGUCUUUUGCGGGUAAACCUAUGGUAUCUAAUACCAUAACCAUUGUAACAAGACCAGCUUGUGGUAUACCAGCAGCACCUAUACUUGCAGCUGUUGCAGUUAUGCUUAAAAAAGACGUGAAAGUGAUAAUAUUUUAUAGAUACUUUGCAGUUAUUUUAUAAGUAUAUAUUUUUAAAAAUAUGACAAAAAUAAAAUACCUAACACCAAUGAUACUGCUAAGAGUCAAUGAUACUCCUCUAACUUGAGCAAUAAAUAUAGCUGCAACUGCUUCAUACAAUGCAGUCCCAUCCAUAUUGAUAGUUGCACCAAUUGGUACAACAAACCUUGUUAUCCUAGGAUCUGCUCCCAUAUUAUCCAAGCACUGCAGAGUAACUGGCAGUGUAGCAGUACUGAAUAAAUAAACGUAUUUAUAUAUAA